rnacentral:misc_RNA from 1 species
GUAGGUGAACCUGCGGAAGGAUCAUUAUUGAAUAAGCUUGGUUGGGUUGUUGCUGGCUUUUCGGAGCAUGUGCACGCCUAACACCAACCUUUUUACCACCUGUGCACUUUUUGUAGACCUGGAUAUCUCUCGAGGAAACUCGGUAUGAGGACUGCUGUGCGUCAAGCCGGCUUUCCUUACAUUUCCGGUCUAUGUUUUUAUAUAUACCCCUUCAGUAUGUCUAUGAAUGUUAUUAUUGGGCUUAACUGUC